CUUUACUGGAAGCUCAUCAGAAGCAGACCCUAUGACCUCUGGCCUUGACAAUCAACUGAACCACAUUUGUCCUUGGCACAAUGGAGAGAGAACUGGAAUCAAGAGAGAAGAUGAUGACAGAGUGAGAGUGAGCCACGAGUCCUGCAGGCUAGAGAGCAGGGUCUUCAAGACAGGAGGUCAGAACUGAACUCAAGAAGGGCCGAGGCUGAGGGAGGAGGAGAUAUGAUGACCUCCACACUCAGGGAUCAAAGAGGGGAGGAGGAAGACGCCAUCAGCUCUUUAGGCAGCAGAUGAUGACAUGACCAGGACCGUUCUUUGCACUUCUUUGUGAAAAAAAAAAUUAUUGCAUGAUCUGGACUUUCAUCCAGAGGGGACUGGCAUGG